rnacentral:sRNA from 12 species
CGUCGCCUGCUGUAUGACCGUCACGGCGGCCAUACCCGUGCGUUUUUGAAUCUGGUCGUGCCGCUGGCCACCGGCCACCGCCACGCGCACCAGGGAAACCACCGGGCCGCGCCCGGCAGGUCCCGCGCAGUUUCCCCGCUGAUCGGCCCCGGCCUUCGGCGAGGCGACGUAGAUAGCACGACACGGCG